UACGAAGGGUGCAAGCGUUAAUAGGAAUUACUGGGCGUAAAGCGCGCGUAGGUGGUUCGUUAAGUUGAAUGUGAAAGCCCCGGGCUCAACCUGGGAACUGCAUCCAAAACUGGCGAGCUAGAGUAUGGCAGAGGGUGGUGGAAUUUCCUGUGUAGCGGUGAAAUGCGUAGAUAUAGGAAGGAACACCAGUGGCGAAGGCGACCACCUGGGCUAAUACUGACACUGAGAAGCGAAGGCGUGGAGAGCAAACAGGGUUGGAUACCCCGGUAGUGC
rnacentral:rRNA from 1 species